GGACCGCUGCAAGGAAGCACAGGCAGGAGAGUGGGACCCCAGGGCCAAGGAGUGACGCCUGCCCCCCUGCCCACUUCCUGCAGUCAGGUAGGCCCUCCCUGCUUGCAUAGCCUAGGAUAGGUCAGCCAGUCUGAUGGACAAGACACAGCUGGGACAGGACGGCACAGGGUACCCCAUUGGGUGGUGCCGAAAUGGAUCUGGGGAACCCCACCUGCUGCUCCAAGAAGCCUUACAUCAUGCCUCUGUUGAAUCUUUGCCUUUGGGGACAAACCUCCUCUAGGGCCAGCAAAGCCAGAAGAAGCUUAGAGGAACUGACCACCCCUCCUCCCAGCACUCUGGGCAGAGUCGCUGCCCAGGACAGGUGCCUUCUGUGUGAGCAGUGCCUGUCAGUCCUCAGGCCGGCCAUUCCUGGGCAUCCUGAACUUUGCACUCCAGUCUGAGGGCUCCAAAGAAUGGCUGCCAUGGCAACCGUUUCCAUGUUUUUGUCACCAAGGGACUCAACACUCAGUGUGAACUCUGAGGUGGGGUGGGGAGCCCUCUCCAGCGUGCAGAAGUGGCUGGGCCGUGUGUUUGUGCACACGGAGGUCACCGUGGCAACUGAGUGCCCCUCGGCUAAGCGACGGGGGGAGCCGGCGUCCCUGAGAACCCCAGUUUCCUCUCCUUGGGACUGAGCUGAAUGCAGAAUGAGGCCCCGUCAGGAUGCCACUGUUUCCCUGGGUGGGACCCCCGACCCCCCAGCCCAGCCACGGUGCCCUCCCCGAUCCCCCAUCCCCAUGCCUGCCGGCUGGGGUGGGCAGAAGGUGGCCCCACAGAGAUGCUGCAGAAGGCCCCUGGGGAACGUGGCUGUGACUCCAGACACUGAGCAUCCUGU